UUGGACAACAAGUUUCAAAAUGGUCCCAAAG
rnacentral:piRNA from 1 species